UUAAGAAAGCAAGAGCGCACGGUGGAUGCCUAGGCACUAAUAGGCGAAGAAGGACGCGACUAACAGCGAAAUGCUACGGGGAGCAGUAAGUAGGCAAAGAUCCGUAGGUAUCCGAAUGGGGAAACCCACUAGUUAGAAGAGCUAGUAUCGUAUAAUGAAUACAUAGUUAUACGAGGCGAACCCGGGGAACUGAAACAUCUAAGUACCCGGAGGAAAAGAAAACAAAAGUAAUUCCCUAAGUAGAGGCGAUUGAAAGGGGAGGAGCCCAGCACCAAGAAGAGUUAGAAAAUCUUUUUAUAGUAGAAUUGUAUUGGAAAAGCAAGACAAAGAAGGUGAAAUCCCUGUAUACGAAAUAAAGAGAUCUCGGUGUCGGAGUAGGGCGGAGCACGAGGAAUUCUGUCUGAAGAAGUGAGGACCAUCUCAUAAGGCUAAAUACUCAUUAGUGACCGAUAGUGAACCAGUACUGUGAAGGAAAGGUGAAAAGAACCCCUGGCGGGGAGUGAAAAGAACCUGAAACCGUGUGCUUACAAACAGUUAGAGCCCGUCAAAGGGUGAUAGCGUGCCUUUUGUAGAAUGAGCCGGCGAGUUACGUUAAUGUGCGAGGUUAAGUUUUAAGGGACGGAGCCGAAGCGAAAGCGAGUCUGAAGAGGGCGGAAUAGUAGAUUGACGUAUACCCGAAACCGGGUGAUCUAGCCAUGAGCAGGUUGAAGCUUGGGUAAAACCAGGUGGAGGACCGAACCAGGGUCUGUUGAAAAAGACUUGGAUGACUUGUGGCUAGGGGUGAAAUUCCAAUCGAACCCGGAGAUAGCUGGUUCUCCCCGAAAUAGCUUUAGGGCUAGCGUUAUGGAGAAGAGUUAUACGAAGGUAGAGCACUGAAUGGGUGAGGGCCUCAUCUCGAGGUACUGAUCUCAAUCAAACUCCGAAUGUCGUAUAAUAUACAUAGCAGUAAGACUAUGGGUGAUAAGGUUCAUAGUCAAAAGGGAAACAGCCCAGACCGCCAGUUAAGGUCCCAAAAUUAUGCUAAGUGGGAAAGGAGGUGGAGUCGCAUAGACAACUAGGAGGUUGGCUUAGAAGCAGCCAUCCUUUAAAGAGUGCGUAAUAGCUCACUAGUCGAGUGAUUCUGCGCCGAAAAUGUAUCGGGGCUAAGCAUAAUACCGAAGCUGCGGAAUUAGGAAAGAAAGCCUAAUUGGUAGGGGAGCGUACUAAACACGAAGAAGGUUGACCGGGAGGGCAGCUGGAGAGUUUAGCAGUGAGAAUGCCGGUGUGAGUAGCGAUAAGAUGGGUGAGAAUCCCAUCCGUCGGAAGCCUAAGGGUUCCAGGGGUAAGGCUCGUCCGCCCUGGGUAAGUCGGGACCUAAGGUGAGGCCGAAAGGCGUAGCUGAUGGAUAUCAGGUUGAUAAUCCUGGACCACCAUAGAGCUGAAGGAGUGACGGAGGAGGGAAGUUAGGAUGGACUGGUGGAAUAGUCUAAUGAAGCACAAAGAGGGAUACGUAGGAAAAACCGCGUAUUAGAACCUUGAAGUGUAAACCGCAAGGCCUAAUGGACCACACUUCCAAGAAAAGCUUCUAGGAAUACUUUAUGGUGCCCGUACCGUAAACGGACACACGUAGGCGAGGAGAGAAUCCAAAGACGCGCGAGAUAAUUCUUGUUAAGGAACUCUGCAAAAUGACCCUGUAACUUCGGGAUAAAGGGGACUCUAGAGAUAGAGGCGCAGAAAAUAGGCCCAAGCGACUGUUUAACAAAAACAUAGGUUUCUGCUAAAGCGAAAGCUGAUGUAUAGGAGCUGACGCCUGCCCAGUGCUGGAAGGUUAAGAGGAGAUGUAAGUCGCAAGGCAAAGCAUUGAAUUGAAGCCCCAGUAAACGGCGGCCGUAACUAUAACGGUCCUAAGGUAGCGAAAUUCCUUGUCAGGUAAG
rnacentral:rRNA from 1 species